rnacentral:rRNA from 1 species
UACGGAGGUGGCAAGCGUUACUCGGAUUCAUUGGGUGUAAAGGGCAGGUAGGCGGCCUGAUAAGUGAGGGGUGAAAUUCCGUUGCUCAACAGCGGAACUGCCUUUCAAACUAUCGGGCUUGAGAAUGGGAGAGGAGAAUGGAAUUCCCGGUGUAAGGGUGAAAUCUGUAGAUAUCGGGAAGAACACCAGUGGCGAAAGCGAUUCUCUAGUCCAAAUCUGACGCUGAGCUGCGAAAGCUAGGGGAGCAAACAGG